CGAGCAAUCUGCCCUUCUCUUUGGAAUAAGCGUUGGAAACGACGUCUAAUGCCGAAUACGACCUCCUUUCGCAUGAUCGGAGGUGGAAAGCUCCGGCGGAGAAGGAUGAGCUCGCGGCCUAUCAGCUAGUUGGUGUGGGUAAUGGCCCACCAAGGCGACGACGGGUAGCCGGCCUGAGAGGGCGAUCGGCCACACUGGGACUGAGACACGGCCCAGACUCCUACGGGAGCAG
rnacentral:rRNA from 1 species